GGAAACUGUUAAAUUCCUCAAACAUGUAACUAAAACUUGUGGGAUAGAGCAAGAGCAAUCUUGGAAAUGUAUCUCAUUAGAUGACUAUUUUCAAAAACAGAAAGAGAACACAUCAACAAACUCAUGAAUCAUCUUAUAGAAUUGGAAAAAGAGGAGUGAAAGCGAAAGCCUGGGAGGCUAGCCGGAGACCGAUCUAGCAACUGAAGCAGCAUGGCCAAGUCUUGUGGAGUGCACCUGAGUAGGGAGGCCCUCAAGAAGGUGGAUGUCUUCAGGCAAAAUCUUUUCCAGGAGGCUGAGGAGUUCCUCUACAGAUUCUUGCCACAGAAAAUCAUAUACCUGAACCAGCUCUUGCAAGAUGACUCCUUCAAUGUGGCUGACCUGACCUCCCUCCGGGCCCCACUGGAUAUCCCUAUCCCAGACCCCCUGCCAAGGAUGAUGAGAAGGAAACAGAUAAACAGGAUAAGAAAGAAAUCCCUAAGUGUGGAUUCCUCCCUGGGAAUGAGAAAGUCUUGUCCCUGCUUGCCCUCGUUAAGCCAGAAGUCUGGACUCUCAAAGAGAAGUGCAUUCUGGUGAUCACAUGGAUCCAGCACCAGAUCUCUAAGAUUGAGGAUGGAAAUGAUUUGGGGGUAGCAAUCCAGGAUAAGGUGCUGGAGAGGGUGAAUGCAGUUAAGACCAAAGUGGAAGCCUUCCAGACAACCAUUUCCAAGUACUUCUUAGAACAUGGGGAUGCUGUGGCUAAGGCCUCCAAGGAGACCCAUGUAAUGGAUUACCGAGCCUUGGUGCACAAGCGAGAUGAGGCAGUGUAUGGGCAACUUAGGGCCAUGGUGCUGGGCCUGAGGACCUUCUAUGCUGAGCUCUAUCAUAUCAUCAUCAACAACCUGGAGAAAAUUAUCAAUCCAAAAGGCGAAGAGAAGCCAUCUAUGUACUGAACCCAGGGCUAGAAGGAAAAUAAAUGACCUAUACUUUGUGUGGAAAAA